GAUGAACGCUAGCGGCAGGCCUAAUACAUGCAAGUCGAACGGCAAGUUGAGUAGCAAUACUUGACCUAGAGUGACGUACGGGUGCGUAACACGUAUGCAACCUACCCAAAAACAGGAGUAUAGCUCGGGGAAACUCGAAUUAACCCUCCAUAAGAUAGUAGCAGAGCAUUCUGUAGCUAUUAAAACUCAGGUGGUUUUGG
rnacentral:rRNA from 1 species